CCCUUAGAUGUUCUGGGCCGCACGCGCGCUACACUGAUGCAUCCAACGAGUCUAAAACCUGCUCUGAUAGGGGUGGGUAAUCUUUUGAAUGUGCAUCGUGAUUGGGAUAGAUGAUUGCAAUUUUUCAUCUUCAACGAGGAAUGCCUAGUAAACGCAAGUCAUCAGCUUGCAUUGAUUACGUCCCUGCCCUUUGUACACACCGCCCGUCGCUCCUACCGAUUGAAUGAUCCGAUGAAUAUCAUGGAUUGAGGAUGCAAGCAGGUUCGCCUGUCUUCAUCUUCGAGAAGUGAAGUAAAUCUUAUCAUUUAGAGGAAGGAGAAGUCGUAACA
rnacentral:rRNA from 1 species